rnacentral:rRNA from 1 species
CCUACGGGGGGCAGCAGUCGAGAAUCAUUCACAAUGGGGGAAACCCUGAUGGUGCGACGCCGCGUGGGGGAAUGAAGGUCUUCGGAUUGUAAACCCCUGUCAUGUGGGAGCAAAUUAAAAAGAUAGUACCACAAGAGGAAGAGACGGCUAACUCUGUGCCAGCAGCCGCGGUAAUACAGAGGUCUCAAGCGUUGUUCGGAAUCACUGGGCGUAAAGCGUGCGUAGGCUGUUUCGUAAGUCGUGUGUGAAAGGCGCGGACUCAACCCGCGGACGGCACAUGAUACUGCGAGACUAGAGUAAUGGAGGGGGAACCGGAAUUCUCGGUGUAGCAGUGAAAUGCGUAGAUAUCGAGAGGAACACUCGUGGCGAAGGUGGGUUCCUGGACAUUAACUGACGCUGAGGCACGAAGGCCAGGGGAGCGAAAGGGAUUAGAUACCCCGGUAGUC